rnacentral:rRNA from 1 species
AAAAGCCUCUAAGCAUCAGGUAACAUCAAAUCGUACCCCAAACCGACACAGGUGGUCAGGUAGAGAAUACCAAGGCGCUUGAGAGAACUCGGGUGAAGGAACUAGGCAAAAUGGUGCCGUAACUUCGGGAGAAGGCACGCUGAUAUGUAGGUGAAGUCCCUCGCGGAUGGAGCUGAAAUCAGUCGAAGAUACCAGCUGGCUGCAACUGUUUAUUAAAAACACAGCACUGUGCAAACACGAAAGUGGACGUAUACGGUGUGACGCCUGCCCGGUGCCGGAAGGUUAAUUGAUGGGGUCAGCGCAAGCGAAGCUCUUGAUCGAAGCCCCGGUAAACGGCGGCCGUAACUAUAACGGUCCUAAGGUAGCGAAAUUCCUUGUCGGGUAAGUUCCGACCUGCACGAAUGGCGUAAUGAUGGCCAGGCUGUCUCCACCCGAGACUCAGUGAAAUUGAACUCGCUGUGAAGAUGCAGUGUACCCGCGGCAAGACGGAAAGACCCCGUGAACCUUUACUAUAGCUUGACACUGAACAUUGAGCCUUGAUGUGUAGGAUAGGUGGGAGGCUUUGAAGUGUGGACGCCAGUCUGCAUGGAGCCGGCCUUGAAAUACCACCCUUUAAUGUUUGAUGUUCUAACGUUGACCCGUGAUCCGGGUUGCGGACAGUGUCUGGUGGGUAGUUUGACUGGGGCGGUCUCCUCCUAAAGAGUAACGGAGGAGCACGAAGGUUGGCUAAUCCUGGUCGGACAUCAGGAGGUUAGUGCAAUGGCAUAAGCCAGCUUGACUGCGAGCGUGACGGCGCGAGCAGGUGCGAAAGCAGGUCAUAGUGAUCCGGUGGUUCUGAAUGGAAGGGCCAUCGCUCAACGGAUAAAAGGUACUCCGGGGAUAACAGGCUGAUACCGCCCAAGAGUUCAUAUCGACGGCGGUGUUUGGCACCUCGAUGUCGGCUCAUCACAUCCUGGGGCUGAAGUAGGUCCCAAGGGUAUGGCUGUUCGCCAUUUAAAGUGGUACGCGAGCUGGGUUUAGAACGUCGUGAGACAGUUCGGUCCCUAUCUGCCGUGGGCGCUGGAGAACUGAGGGGGGCUGCUCCUAGUACGAGAGGACCGGAGUGGACGCAUCACUGGUGUUCGGGUUGUCAUGCCAAUGGCACUGCCCGGUAGCUAAAUGCGGAAGAGAUAAGUGCUGAAAGCAUCUAAGCACGAAACUUGCCCCGAGAUGAGUUCUCCCUGACUCCUUGAGAGUCCUGAAGGAACGUUGAAGACGACGACGUUGAUAGGCCGGGUGUGUAAGCGCAGCGAUGCGUUGAGCUAACCGGUACUAAUGAACCGUGAGGCUUAACC